UACGUAGGGGGCAAGCGUUGUCCGGAUUUAUUGGGCGUAAAGAGCGUGUAGGCGGCCAGGUAGGUGGGUUGUGAAAACUGGGAGGCUCAACCUUCAGAGGUCGACCCAAACCCCCUGGCUAGAGUCCGGAAGAGGAGAGUGGAAUUCCUGGUGUAGCGGUGAAAUGCGCAGAUAUCGUAAGGAAGACCAGUGGCGAAGGCGGGUCUCUGGACAGUUCCUGACGCUGAGGCACGAAGGUCAGGGGAGCAAACGGG
rnacentral:rRNA from 1 species